AAUUUUUCUCAAUGGGCGCAAGCCUGAAGGAGCGACGCCGCGUGGGGGAUGAAGGGUUUCGAUCCGUAAACCCCUGUCAUUUGUGAACAACGGUCAUCGUUGAAUAUUCGGUGGCUUGAUAGUAACAGAAGAGGAAGGGACGGCUAACUCUGUGCCAGCAGCCGCGGUAAUACAGAGGUCCCAAGCGUUGUUCGGAUUCACUGGGCGUAAAGGGUGCGCAGGUGGCGCUUCAAGUUUGAUGUGAAAGCUUCGGGCUCAACCCGGAAAUGGCAUUGAAUACUGGAGUGCUUGAGGUUUGGAGGGGGGACUGGAAUUCUCGGUGUAGCAGUGAAAUGCGUAGAUAUCGAGAGGAACACCAGUGGCGAAGGCGAGUCCCUGGACAACACCUGACACUGAGGCACGAAAGCUAGGGGAGCAAAC
rnacentral:rRNA from 1 species